GGUGCAGAAGCCAUAUUGAUUGACAAAGAUAAGAAUCCAAAGUGGGUGCCAUGGCGGCUGGAGGAGAUGAAGGAUAGGAUGGUAGAGCAGUACUUCAAGAGAGUGGAGGAAGUUGAGGAUCUAAAGCUUCCACCAAGGAAAUUUGCCUGCCUUAGCAAUGGCAAAGCUGUGAAAUGGAGAAGGUGAUGGAGCACUAUGGUUUAGGUCUGAAAAGGAAAAUAAAUGUAAUAGGCGACGCUUGUGUUGAAUUGGCCUUGCAUACAUACAUACAUGUAGUAGUAUAUUGUUAAUUUGAAUUGGCAUUAUUGUUGUAAUGAAA